GGGCGCCUUAUAACAGACUCACAAUAACACAGCAAACACCACGUCAAAAGGAAAACCUACGCCAAAAUGCCAUGGUCACGUCUACUCCACGUGCUCCGCUUGGGCUGCUUUCUGAGCGUCACACACUCUCAUCAUUUACGUUGUCGCAACGGGACGUAUGUGAUCAAGGCAUGGUCACAUCUACUCCACAUACCUCACCUGGGGUGCUUUCGAAGCGUUCCAUUUUUGAGUCUUCAGCGUUGUCGAAGGAAGACGUAUGCG